GCAGUGUGUAGUUCUAGUCACAGAGGCAGUGUGUAGUUAUAGUCACAGAGACAGUGUGUAGUUAUAGUCACAGAGACAGUGUGUAGUUAGUCACAGGGGCAGUGUGUAGUUUUAGUCACAGAGGCAGUGUGUAGUUAUAGUCACAGAGGCAGUGUGUAGUUAUAGUCACAGAGACAGUGUGUAAUUAUAGUUACAGAGGCAGUGUGUAGUUAGUCACAGAGGCAGUGUGUAGUUCUAGUCACAGAGGCAGUGUGUAGUUCUAGUCACAGAGGCAGUGUGUAGUAUUAAUCACAGAGGCAGUGUGUAGUUAUAGUCACAGAGGCAGUGUCUAGUAAUAUAGAAAUCAGAUCUGCCUUUCAGAGAUGAAAUCAAAGUGAUUAUAUAUUAUACAAACUUUUUUAACAUGUAGAUCAAUUCAGAAUAAACUUCAACUACUGUAUCAUAUUAAAAAAAAACAUAAUUUCACAGUAUUUUUCUGAAGUAAAAUUUUGUCUGUGAUUUUUGAAACCAAAAUAUUUUAAUACUGAACACAUGCUUUUGCUCAUAAAAAACACUGUAUCCCUUAGUAAUGGCACUUGAAAAUACUAUUUAGGUCUUGCCUGAUGAGAUUCUACAAAAAUCCCAAUCUGUUAUGUUGCCCUCUCAACUUUUUUUCAAGGGAGAUAAUUUGUCUUCAAAACACUGACUAGAUUUAUUGAUUGUAGAACUAGGGAAGUCGCAGUGUCAUUCUCUUAAAUAAUCUUAACAUUAACUAUAAACAACAACCAAGGCGUACCACUUCGUAGAGGGCCUGAUAUCAGUUUGCUUUUCAUACAAGGGGAGGUAACUCUAGGUAAAUAUGUACAUCUGACACAAAGCAAAACUGACAAAAAAGUAUCUAUUGAAUAAUUGAAGUUUAAAACAGGUGAUAUAUUAAAUACUUUAGAAAUAUUUUCUUGAGAAAGAUGAUUAGUUAAAAUAGAUACUGUAUGAUCAGUAUUUAAGAAAUCAAAAAUGUGCAAAAGCAUUAAAAAUUAUUUCAUUUAAUAACACAGCAUUUCAGUUUUAUUUGUAUCUAUACUUUCUAUGACAGAUAACAAAGAAAUGGUUUAAUAUCAACAAAUCUGAACAGGAUUAAAAAGUGAGUAAAUAAUGAUAAAAAAGUAAAGCUUUAAAACAUACUUCUGACCUUAUAAUCUGCCAGACGUAACUUACUGCAAAUCUUCAAGUGCAUACAUGUUUUACCCAAACUUGUAAUGAUCAUGUUUCUGAAUUUUCAAAUAAUGACCCGUACCAUUCUAGAUCACUUCCAUGUCUUAGAGCAUUAGUAAUAAAUUAAAAUUAAAGAUAUAGUUGUACAGAAGAACCUAACCAAAUUCAAAACUAAAAUGAACAAUUGUAUAAAGUAUUUAUUGGCUGAAUAGAUGAGAAACAUUCAAAGAGAAAAUUCAGUUGAAAUGAGCUGUUUGUGUUUCUGAUGAGAAUCUUAAUCACCUCGGUAACAUUUGUAUACAGACUAGUCUGUCACAGGUAAGACUGAAGACAGGUGUAGUGACAAGGAAGUCUGUCACAGUUGAAAUUGAAAUUGGUGUAGUGACAAUUAAGGCUGUAACAGGUAGGACUGAAGACAUGUGUUGUGACAAGGAAGUCUGUCACAGUUGAAAUUGAAAUUGGUGUAGUGACAAGGAAGUCUGUCACAGGUAAGACUAAAGACAUGUGUAGUGACAAGGAAGUCUGUAACAGGUAAGACUGAAGCCAUGUGUUGUGACAAGGAAGUCUGUCACGGGUAAGACUGAAGACAGGUGUAGUGACAAGGAAGUCUGUCACGGGUGAAAUUGAAAUUGGUGUAGUGACAAGGAAGUCUGUAACAGGUAAGACUGAAGACAGGUGUAGUGACAAGGAAGUCUGUCACAGUUGAAAUUGAAAUUGGGGUAGUGACAAGGAAGUCUGUAACAGGUAAGACUGAAGCCAUGUGUUGUGACAAGGAAGUCUGUCACAGUUGAAAUUGAAAUUGGUGUAGUGACAAUGAAGUCUGUCACAGGUAAGACUGAACAGGGGUAGUGAAAAGGAAGUCUGUCACAGUUGAAAUUGAAAUUGGUGUAGUGACAAUGAAGUCUGUCACAGGUAAGACUGAACAGGGGUAGUGAAAAGGAAGUCUGUCACAGUUGAAAUUGAAAUUGGGGUAGUGACAAGGAAGUCUGUAACAGGUAAGACUGAAGACAGGUGUAGUGACAUGGAAGUCUGUCACAGGUAAGACUGAAGACAUGUGUAGUGACAAGGAAGUCUGUCACAGGUGAAACUGGUGUAGUGACAAGGAAGUCUGUCACAGAUAAGACUGAAGACAGGUGCUCUGACAAGGAAGUCUGUCACAGGUAAGACUGAAGACAUGUGUAGUGACAAGGAAGUCUGUCACAGGUGAAACUGGUGUAGUGACAAGGAAGUCUGUCACAGAUAAGACUGAAGACAGGUGUUGUGACAAGGAAGCCUGUCACAGGUAAGACUGAAGACAGGUGUAGUGACAUGGAAGUCUGUCACAGGUAAGACUGAAGACAUGUGUAGUGACAAGGAAGUCUGUCACAGGUGAAACUGGUGUAGUGACAAGGAAGUCUGUCACAGAUAAGACUGAAGACAGGUGUAGUGACAAGGAAGUCUGUCACAGGUAAGACUGAAGACAGGUGUAGUGACAAGGAAGUCCGUCACAGGUAAGACUAAAGACAGGUGUUGUGACAAGGAAGUCUGUCACAGAUAAGACUGAAGACAGGUGCUCUGACAAGGAAGUCUGUCACAGGUAAGACUGAAGACAGGUGAUGUAACAAGGAAGUCUGUCACAGGUAAGACUAAAGACAGGUGUAGUGACAAGGAAGUCUGUCACAGGUAAGACUGAACGGGGGUAGUGAAAAGGAAGUCUGUCACAGUUGAAAUUGAAAUUGGUGUAGUGACAAGGAAGUCUGUCACAGGUAAGACUAAAGACAGGUACAGUGACAAUUAAGUCUGUCACAGGUAAGACUGAAAUCAGGUGUAACUGAUAAUUAGCUGGUAAAAGUAUUGACAAAUAAAAGAUGGCCUACUCUGUUAAUGUAGAUACAUAUUAUCAUAGAAAAUGCAUAAGGAUCAUGAAACCUCAGCCUUUACUACAUCAAAAUCAAAUUAUCAAUGAGUAAUGAAAUUUUCAAACAUUUUGCUUUGCUGAGAUAAUUCUUAUUCUAAAACCCAACUUGUUUUGGUUUUGUUUUUGAGAAAGGGUGAAGUUUGAUAUCACUAGGCCUUUAGGGACAGUGUGUUGUGAGUCAAAAGGGAGUUAGAUAAUAGAUACUUGUUGGGAAGGAGUGUGUGCACACAAACACAUGAAUAAAAUGUGUGAAACAAGACAUCCCUGGCCAGCAGGAAUUCUUUAGAAGCUUCAGAACUUAUAGAACCUAUACAAUCUUGUCAAAGAAGAUUAUUAUACAUGUGUUGUCUCUCUUCAUAUUUUAGACCUUUCAAAAUGUGAAGCAUGAAGAAAAAAAGGUACAUUAAUAAAAACAAAACUUUCUUAAAACGAGACAGCAGUGUCAAAUUACCUACAAUUCUGAAACUAUCCCAACCACGAGCCAUAGUUGUCUCAGGGUCCAUUCGAUCAACAUUUCAAUGAACAUCUUUAUACACACUCUCAUACCUUUGGUAUCAGUGUUCAUAUAGUUUCAGUCACUCAUUAAUAUCAAUAAAAUUGAUAAGAGAUCAUGGGAGAGGGUUUGUGACUAUUUACACAUAUCAUGUAAUGAUAUACAUAAUUAAACAUUUCAAUUUUGAAAAAAAUGUGCAAAAACUGAAAUAAAAUAUAUUAGCACUUAGUAAGAAAUAUGUCUUCUUUAAAGAAAAGAAGGCUUUUCAGCUUUGGAAUUUACACUUUUUAAUUUGUGAAAUAUCCUAUUUAUGUUUAUAGGUAUCA